ensembl:lncRNA
UGGAUGUGUGAUGUGGUGGUGGGUGUGGUGACCCCAGCACGGCACAAAGCCUUGCUCACAAGGGUUGCUAAGUGAUGCCUCAAAGGAUUGCCACGGCUGGGGAGAGACGACAGCCGAGGGUAGGUCGGGUUCCCAAAUUGUUUUAUGGCUAAAGGAUUUUUCAGAGUUUUCUUUGCAAACAUAAAUAGAAUUUAUCUGUAUUUUUAAAUCCCAUAAGAAAAACAAACCCCAAGAUCUUCCACUAACUUUUUGAGGAAGUUCUUUCUGAUGGAAAUAGUUUGGUAUCCAAACUCCACAAGGCUCGGUGGCUCGGGGGAGGUCAUGGCAGGCAGCUGUGCUGUCCUGUUACUCAGUGCUCUGGGAGGGGGCUGCUGGAAGUCUGGAGGAGGUUUCACGAUGGAAGACUGGGCUAAAUAAAGGUCUUCCACCUCCAUAAUUCCGGCAGCUGCAUUUCAGCAGGCUCCAGUCACAGUGUGACACGGCGUCUCGGAUGGAGGAGGGAGCCUCAAACCUCGCUGCCUUUGGGUGGGGGCAGCCAAAGUGAUUAAUGGAGCAGCCUCUGCUCAGGUGGGCUGUUCCUGAGCUCCCUGAAGGUGAUCUGCAGCGAGUCCUGCUGCUGGUGAGCUGGCAGUGAUAACUCAGUUCUGCUGCCUGUCCCCAGGACGUGCCUCUUGCUGCACUUAGCACCGAGGGGCUGGAGCCUGGCAAAGCCACAGCCCCCGGAUGUCCAGCCCAGCCUGUCAUUUCCAGUGAAACUGGGGUUGUCAGGGGCAUCCAGCCAGUCAUGUCAUGCUCUGGGCAUCCUGACAGCUCCUGGCUGCUGGCUGGGAACAAUACCACUGUUCCCAAGGGGUGGCAAACCAAAAUCAGGGUAUUUUAGUAUUUCCGAUGAGUUUGGAAAGAGUAGCCAAAGUUGACGGGCUCCAGGCAGCUGUUUAUAGAGUCAUGGAAUGGUUUGGGUUGGGAGGGACCUUAAGAACCAUCCCAUUCCACUCCCUGCCAUGGGCAGGGACACUUUCAACUAUCCCAGGUUGCUCCAAGCCCCAUCCAAGCUGCCCUUGGACACUUCCAGGGAUGGGGCAGCCCCAACUGCUCUGGGCACCCUGUGCCAGGGCCUCACCUCCUUCACAGGGAGGAAUUUCUUCCUGAUAUCCAAUCUGAAACUCUCCUCUUUUAAGUUUAAAACCAUCCCCCCUUGUGCUAUGGCAGCAGGCAGAGCUGAAAGGAGGAUGUGGUGGGAUGUUUUGUUUCCAUGUGCAGUUCCUCACGCCAGGCUGGGUUAUCCCUGGGGUCAGGAAUCAGCCCCCACUGAUCCCCUCGGCUCACCUGGGGCUCCCCUGUCCAGGCAGGGGUUAAUGAGGGAUUUGGGCUGCUCUGGGAGAGCCCAUCCAGGGCGUAGGAGAGACUUGGAGGUUGUUAUUCCCAUCAGGAGAGCUUGGGAGAGAGGGACAGCAGGCCAGGUCCCACCUUCUGGCUCAGCCUCCACAGGGAGUUGCUUGUGAGGCCAACUUCCUCUGGGAGGAAGAGAAAAAGAGCCAUGGAAGCUGUCCAAACCCUCUGCUGAGAAAGAGGGCGAGGCCAGACAGGGUUGAUUCGGGACUUUAUUUGGGUGUGCUUGGAAUUGCCUGUGCCGGGGAAGCACCGGGAGCCCCAGGACGCAGAUGCCCUGUGGCUGCUGCAGGGUGGAUCACCCUCCCACACCUGCAGAGCUCACCUUGCUGGCUGCAGGGGCAGCAGCCGCCGCUGAAUGGGCUUUUUUGGGGAUGGAAAUAGGAAAUGAGCUCUGCAGCUGAGCCUCUGCAGGCACCGGGGUGCAGAGAGCUCUGCCGGGAGGGAGGAGGCUCGGCCAGCACAGGCACUCGGUUAAUAAGCAAAUAUAUGUGGCUCCAUAUAUUAAUAACUCCUGGAAGCAAAGUAGUUCUGGGGGUUGAGUCUCUUGCCUGCUGGAAGUGACUGAAAAGAAUUGGUUUUAUUUCUCCUCCCAGGUCACAGGACCCAGACGUUUCCAGGUAACACACCUGAGCCCGGCUGGCUCCUGAGCAGUGAGCCUGGGUGUGCUGCUGGCCCUGGGGCUGGACCCCACUGACUGUUCUUCCAGGUGUUUGCAUGCCUGCAUACCUUGCUCUGGCUGGAAAAAAGCUUGGAAAAGCUGAAACCUGCAGCCUGUGGCUGUGGGAAGGAGCCAUGAGGGGCAAAGGGACUGCUGGGGGCUGUGGCAGCUCCUGCCCACGCUGGGCUGGGGUGACACUGAGGGGCUCCAGCAGCUCUGGAACCAGCAGCACCUUGGCCUGUGGCCACUGUGGUGAUCAGGGGACCCUUUUCCAUGACACUGUAUCACAGGGGUGAUUCAGCAGCUUUCUAGAAAUGCAAGGAUCUAAAAGAAGUAAAGAAGGGAGUUUUCCUUCUCUGUUUUCCUUCUCUGUUUUCCUUCUCUGUUUUCCUUCUCUGUUUUCCUUCUCUGCCUCUUUCUACAUUAAGAAAUAAGGCAACUUGGGUUCUCCCUUCAGGGAACAGGGAAAUUUGGCACCAAAAAGCCCCUCCAUCCCUUCCCACAUCCCUCCACCACAUGUCUCCGCUUCACUUCUCACUUGUUUUGACAUCAAGUACUUUCCCCAAAAAAUAUUAGUCACAACUUUGGCUUCAACCAGCCAACUCUUAACCUUCCUCAAAGUGGUUUGCAGGGGUGACGUUGGUAAUGUGUGAUGGAGAUGGGGAUGGGUGGGCGGAUUCAGGGUUUCUGGAAGGUUCUGCAUCGAGGUUUGGGAGCCCUGAAGCUGCUGCCUGCUGCUCUAAGGGAAUCCCAAAGGACCUGCCAGCAGAUCCAAGGAGCUUCGGUGGGUCCUUGGAAUAACACAGACUGUGAGGUUGGAAAACCAGGACAUCUGGUGGGGCUGAGAUUGUCAGUGGAGGCUGAAUGAGCAGAGUGAUGAGUAUGGUACAAAGCUGACUGGUCCGUGCUGAGGGGUGUCAAACCUGAACCAGCUGCCUAAAAUCUGGGUUUGGAACAAUAACAGCUCUGUUGAGCAGUUCAGCACCAAGAGGAGGGAAAACCCCAAGUGCUGUGUGGGAUCAGGUGUGGAUUCCUCGGAAUUCCUGGGAAGGAAGGAAGGAGUGAGGGACGCUUGGGUUGGGCAGAGCUGUGAAAUCGUGUUCCAGCCCUGCAGCAGCUGCACAUGAGGAGCCUGCAGUGGCUGUGGCAUCCAGGGUGAACCCAGCCCUGUCUUCCCUGUGCUUCCUCAAGUAAUUAUCACACACCUUGCACCCUAAUGAGAACCUGCUCCAUUUUCUCAUCCCUCUGCUCCGUGGCUCUUCCCUCAUGGCCGCUCCUUCAGAGCUCUUUGCAAACCCCAUCUGCUAAAGGGCUCGGAUUUUCUUUUUAAAAGGAGGAAUCAUUGGAAAUUAGUAGUUUCUCUGUGCGUUAUUAUGCUUAUAAUCCUCUAAUUUGGUAAUGGGGCUGUAAUCACAGCCAGCCCGGAAAGGUGCCCUGGGGAUUCCCAGGCACAGCAUGCCUGGACAGAGCGUGAUUCCACGGCAGGAAAGGCAGGGAGAGAGAGGAUGGACCUCCCAGCACUCCCAGGGAUGGAAAAGCAGAGUCAAACACAGCUCAGGGGUGAGGAAUCCUGAAAUAAGAGAUGUCAGCAUGGGCAGUGGCAGACCCUGUGCCCAGAGCUUGUGUCUGUGGACAGAAACUGAGCUUGACAGCCCCAUCCUACCCAAAAAGUCAAGAGAAAACAACAAACUCAAGGGAAAACAACAAAUGCUGUCCCUCUGCCAGGGAUACUUCCUGCUCAGGAAAGUUUUUCAAGGCAGGUGAGUUCCCAGGAUGCAGAGGAAGGUGUGGGCUGUGAGCGAGGCCCUUCCAGCCCCAAAUCACAACCUGCUGCUCCUGAGGCUGCUGCCCAGCCAGUUCCCACCACAGGAUUUUCUCCCUUCCAACCCUGUAGUGAGGGAAAUUGGUGCAAAUAUGCAGCUUGCUGAGGGUAACGUGUGGUGCCGAGCCACACCUGUAUAAAAAACCAAGCAGGGACUUCCAGAUUGUUAGACUGGAAAGGUGAGGGGAGCUAAUUGGGAUCUGCUAAUUGGGAUCUGCAGUGCCUGGCUGUCCAGACAGGGAAUCCACCCGUGCUGGGGCUGGUGGCUGCUCAGGGAACUGCUCAUUCCCACAUCCUGCAGCCUGUGCAAGGUCUCCUGUUGUGCCACCCUCCCAGGCUGCAAGGUGCUGGCGACAGGGGCCUUGGUGUCAGCAGAGCUAAACCCCGAGUACAGCCCUGCAACCACCAAGGAAAGGAGAAUGAAGCAGGUCUGGCUGAUGUUGGAGAUGGGUUAUAUUCCAAAUAAUGCUGAAACUCAGUCCCCGUGCAGGAGAGGUGGAUGGGAGAGGUUCCCAGGGGCUGAAACCUCAGCCCUGAUGGGCAAACUGGAAUCAGGGAUGUCUUCACUCAGCACAGCUGGCUCAGAGAUCCAGGGAAAACCCUGAGGCAUAAGAACUAAGGGACUAGAAAUGCAGAGCAGGGAUGAAAAUGAUGAAAAUGAGACAAAGUCACCACUUCCCAAAACCUUCACAGUGAAGGAAACACCUCCCACUGUCUGGAGGAUCCAUGGGAAUAUUACAAUAUUUGUUCCAAAAACAUGACUGGGUGGAUCCAGACUCACUGACGCAGACACAAGCAGCUAAUUGAAUUCAUACGUAGGAACCCUGGACACCAUCUGGCCUCAAUAAAACGUGGGGCCAGAGCUGUUUCUUAGCAGAUGGUUCCUCAUUUUCAUAAUCUGAAAUCAAAAGAUCAUUUUUCUAUCUGGAGAUCAAAGGCACCUAAUGUCUCCUUGGUCGAGGGUUACGAAGCGAAACCCGUGUCCUCUGUUUUGGCUUUUGGGGUGAGGCAGACGGGGGUUUUCCCCUGAAACCUCUGCUCAGGCUCCGGGCAACCACAUCUGGGCAGCAGCUGCAGAUGUUCACAGCUCUCCAGGCCUGGGCUGUAUUUCCACGAUAGGGACGUGCACUGUAUAAAAUCAGAAGGGACAGCUGUAAGAAGCUUGUGUGGCCAUUUCUAUUUCCCCAGACUCCUGCAGUACAGCCCAUAAGAUGAAUAUUUGGGGAUGAAAUGAUGCCUUUUGCCUUAGAAGAAGAGCUCAGAGCCCUGUCUGAGCUCUCAGAGCCCACCCAGCCCUGAGCCCUGUGUGUGAGGCCAGCACGGUGGCCACUCUGAAGUGGUGGCUGGGCUGUCCUGUGCAGGGCCAGCAGCUGGACUCGAUGAUCCUUGUGGCCCCUCUGAUUUUCUGAUCUAUGGGAGACACCCCUGCAGAGGAAGGAGAGCAGCCUGGGGAAAAGGAGGCUCAGGGAAAUGUGGCUCUGCACAACUCCCUGACAGGAGGGGACAGCCUGGGGGGGCUCUGCUCCCAGGAAACAGGGAGGAGGAGAGGGAAGGGCCUCAAUUCAGGAGGAAUUUCUCCAUGGAAAGGGUGGUCAGGCCUUGGCAGGGCUGCCCGGCGAGGUUUGGAGUGCCCGUCCCUGGAGGUGCCCAAGGAAGGGAUGGAUGAUAAAGGUGGGGAGCGGGCACAGCGUGGACCCGGUGAUCUCGGAGGCCUUUCCCAGCCUCGGUGGCUCUGGAAUUCCGGGAUUCUGGGCUGCUCCUCGGCUGGUGAUGGUGGGCGAGCGCUGCCUCCCCAGCGACGUCAGUGCCAGCAGCAUUGGCGGGGAGGAGAAGGGGGCGAGAUGCUUUUCUCUGGAAAGUGCUUCCACACCCACCCCAAAGCCUCGGGGACUAAGAAGGAGAGCCGUGUGGUGACUCGGAGCAGGUUGUGACAAACUGAGUCCUGCUCACAAACCUCAUUUCCCAGCGGGUACCUGUGGAACCCAGGGGCUCCCGGUCCUGCCAGCCCACGCUGCCCCAGCGCUCUCCUCAUCUGAUGCUCGAGGUGAAUAUUUGCCGGGAUCAGCUCCCAGGGGAGCAGGAGCCCUUCCCUGCUGUGCCUGCUGCAGUAUGGAAAUGAUCCUCCCGGCAGACAGCUGAGUCCCACCUCGGUUCCCAUUCACCUGGAGAUGAAAGCGCUCUGCCUGCCAGUGUAGGCGGGGCAAAACUAUUUAAAAACCUCAUUAGAGAAAGUAUUCGGGGAAGACAGCAACACCCUCAGUUGUGGUUUGCUCCAGGACUUCUCAGCCAGAUCCCUGCUGAUACAGAGGGAAGGGCACUAUGAGAGACAUUCCUGUCAAAUACUGCUCCUCGUGGGGAUGCCUUGGGUGUCCUUUGCCUUCCUCUGUGUCCUGGUGGGCUGUGUUUUACCUAAACCUGAGCGUUCCCUUCCACGUGCUGUUUUGGGGGCUGGAAUCAGGGCUGUGCUUGGCAUGGAGGGUCCAGGAGUGAUGUAGGGGUGUCCCAGCUCCGUGCUAGAGGAACACAGUCAGCAGAGCUGUGUGUGAUCUUGAUUAGGCAGAAAUCCACCGUGAAUAUUUCCUAUUUCCAUUCAAUUCCGGUUUGUGCUUAUUUCAGCUGAAUUUGCAGCAGGAGUAAUGCCCAAGCCACAUCUGGCUCCUGAUGCACAUGGGAUCAGAGCAGGAGGUUGGGAGGAGGUGGAUCUGGAUUCAGAGGUUUGGCUUCUUAUUUAGAAAAUGAUGGGUUGCGUUCUCCCACGGCUGCUC